UGUGUAAAGUGUGUGUUAUAGAUAACUCUCAGUUAGUCUCUUUGAAAAAUAAAAGCAAAUUGUUAUGAAUCUGUCUCUGUCUGCCCAGUUCUAGUCUUGUCUCAUGUUCAUUCAGUUUCAUCCUGCUCCUCUGCUCAUUGCUCCUGCCCCUCCCGUCACAGAAAUCUCAAUCAGCUCAUUCAUCGCACCUGCUCCUGUCAGUAUUUAUUCCAGCUCCUGCCUCCAGCCCGUUGCCAGAUUAUCAUCAGCCUUGUCUAUGAUCUUCCAGCAAUCUUGUUCCUUUCUUGCCUUGAGUCCCCGACCCUGCUCAUGUCUCUUGGACCCACGUCUCCUGCCUCAGCCCCUGUCGGAUCCUGCGUGUCAUCUGUUCUCCUGGUAACGACCCUGUUUCUGUUUCUCGGACCCACGCCUCCUGCCUCAGCCCCUGUCGGAUCCUGCCUGCCUUCUGCUCACCUGGUAACAACACUGUUUCUGUUUGUUGGAUUUUCGCCUCACGUCUCGCCCCUGAACGGAACCUCGCCACCUCGGACUUCCUGGAACUCGACCUCGGAACUCAUCUCUGGAUCCUCGACUCAGCCUGCUCCAUUAAACCUGGUAACGAUCUCUGACCACCUGUGUAUGACCCCAGCUUUGUUUUGGACCACGAGAAAUCCCCGCAGCAACACCACCCGGAACCAGAACACUGUGGCAGUAGUCGCCACACAAGCUCAGCUCCUCUUGAGAAGAACUGCUGAUCCCGGUCUCCAGUCCUCGUCCUUCAGUUGCACAUUUUUACAAUAAACCUGUUAAAACUG